rnacentral:rRNA from 1 species
AGGCGGAUUAGUAAGUCAGUGGUGAAAGCUCCCGGCUCAACCGGGAAAAUGCCAUUGAUACUGUUAAUCUUGAGUACAGUUGAGGUAGGCGGAAUGUAUCAUGUAGCGGUGAAAUGCAUAGAUAUGAUACAGAACACCGAUAGCGAAGGCAGCUUACCAAACUGUAACUGACGCUCAUGCACGAAAGCGUGGGGAGCAAACAGGAUUAGAUACCCUGGUAGUCCACGCUGUAAACUAUGAUCACUCGCUGUUGGCGAUACACUGUCAGCGGCUUAGCGAAAGUGUUAAGUGAUCCACCUGGGGAGUACGAUCGCAAGGUUGAAACUCAAAGGAAUUGACGGGGGCCCGCACAAGCGGAGGAGCAUGUGGUUUAAUUCGAUGAUACGCGAGGAACCUUACCUGGGCUUAAAUGCAGAACGACCUCCCGAGAAAUCGGGACUUCCUUCGGGACGGACUGCAAGGUGCUGCAUGGUUGUCGUCAGCUCGUGCCGUGAGGUGUCGGGUUAAGUCCCAUAACGAGCGCAACCCUUAUCCUUAGUUGCCAACAGGUAAUGCUGGGAACUCUAAGGAAACUGCCUACGCAAGUAGUGAGGAAGGUGGGGAUGACGUCAAAUCAGCACGGCCCUUAUGUCCAGGGCUACACACGUGCUACAAUGGUCGGUACAGAGGGCAGCUACCUGGCAACAGGAUGCUAAUCUCGAAAGCCGGUCUCAGUUCGGAUUGGAGUCUGCAACUCGACUCCAUGAAGU